AGGGUUUGAUCAUGGCUCAGAACGUACGCUGGCGGCACGCCUAACACAUGCAAGUCGAACGAAGUAGCAAUACUUAGUGGCAGACGGGUGAGUAACAUGUAGGUAUCUGCCCUUUGGCCUGGAAUAACACGAGGAAACUUGUGCUAAUACCGGAUAAGUCUUUACGGAGAAAGCUUUAUGCACCAUUGGAUGAGCCUGCACUUGAUUAGUUUGUUGGUAGGGUAAUGGCCUACCAAGACUGUGAUCAAUAGCUGAUUUGAGAGGAUGAUCAGCCACAUUGGGACUGAGACACGGCCCAAACUCCUACGGGAGGCAGCAGUGGGGAAUCUUGCACAAUGGAGGAAACUCUGAUGCAGCGAUGCCGCGUGAGUGAAGAAGGCCUUUGGGUUGUAAAGCUCUUUCGUCGGGGAAGAAAAUGACUGUACCCGAAUAAGAAGGUCCGGCUAACUUCGUGCCAGCAGCCGCGGUAAUACGAAGGGACCUAGCGUAGUUCGGAAUUACUGGGCUUAAAGAGUUCGUAGGUGGUUAAAAAAGUUGGUGGUGAAAUCCCAGAGCUUAACUCUGGAACUGCCAUCAAAACUAUUUAGCUAGAGUAUGAUAGAGGAAAGCAGAAUUUCUAGUGUAGAGGUGAAAUUCGUAGAUAUUAGAAAGAAUACCAAUUGCGAAGGCAGCUUUCUGGAUCAUUACUGACGCUGAGGAACGAAAGCAUGGGUAGCGAAGAGGAUUAGAUACCCUCGUAGUCCAUGCCGUAAACGAUGUGUGUUAGACGUUGGAAAUUUAUUUUCAGUGUCGCAGCGAAAGCAUUAAACACACCGCCUGGGGAGUACGACCGCAAGGUUAAAACUCAAAUGAAUUGACGGGGACCCGCACAAGUAGUGGAGCAUGUGGUUUAAUUCGAAGAUACGCGCAGAACCUUACCAACACUUGACAUGUUUGUCGCGACUCUAAGAGAUUAGAGUCUUCGGUUCGGCCGGACAAAACACAGGUGCUGCAUGGCUGUCGUCAGCUCGUGUCGUGAGAUGUUGGGUUAAGUCCCGCAACGAGCGCAACCCUCACUUUUAGUUGCCAUCAUUAAGUUGGGCACUCUGAAAGAACUGCCAGUGAUAAGCUGGAGGAAGGUGGGGAUGACGUCAAGUCCUCAUGGCCCUUACGUGUUGGGCUACACACGUGCUACAAUGGCAUUUACAAUAGGAAGCAAGAUGGCGACAUCAAGCAAAUCCUAAAAAGAUGCCUCAGUUCGGAUUGUACUCUGCAACUCGAGUACAUGAAGCUGGAAUUACUAGUAAUCGCGGAUCAGCGCGCCGCGGUGAAUACGUUCCCGGGUCUUGUACACACCGCCCGUCACACCAUGGGAGUUGGUUCUACCUUAAGGCAAGGUUUUAAACCCUUGACUACGGUAUAGUCAGCGACUGGGGUGAAGUCAUAACAAGGUAACCGUA
rnacentral:rRNA from 1 species